rnacentral:piRNA from 1 species
UACCGACCGAUAUCGGCUCUGCCAUUAC